rnacentral:lncRNA from 1 species
AAAUCACAUCACGGAGAGAGCUUUGCCCAAUCGCACCAAGCCCAAAGAUAUGACUUCCAAGAUAGGGGAAGCUCUAUGACCAACCCCAACUAUCCAUGCAUGAGAGUGGAUUUCCCUAGAUGGGAAGAAGGAGACCCGAUUGGUUGGAUCUCGCGUGCGGAGCGAUAUUUUCGGUACCAUAAAAUCGCGGAUGCAUCUAU